UACGGAAGGGGCAAGCGUUGUUCGGAAUCAUUGGGCGUAAAGGGCGCGUAGGUGGUUCUGUAUGUCUACCGUGAAAGCGUACGGCUCAACCGUAUUUUGUCGGUAGAAACUGCAGGACUUGAGGCUGGGAGGGGCUGGUGGAAUUCCCUGUGUAGCGGUGAAAUGCGUAGAGAUGGGGGAGAACACUCGUGGCGAAGGCGGCCAGCUAGACCAGUUCUGACACUGAGGCGCGACGAGCGUGGGGAGCAAACAGG
rnacentral:rRNA from 1 species